AUUGAACGCUGGCGGCAGGCCUAACACAUGCAAGUCGAGCGGAGCGGCGGACGGGUGAGUAAUGCCUAGGAAUCUGCCUGGUCGUGGGGGAUAACGUCCGGAAACGGGCGCUAAUACCGCAUACUAUCAGAUGAGCCUAGGUCGGAUUACCUAGUUGGUGGGGGACAGGCCUACAAAGGCGACGAUCCGUACCUGGUCUGAGAGGAUGAUCAGUCACACUGGAACUGAGACACGGUCCAGACUCCUACGGGAGGCAGCAGUGGGGAAUAUUGGGCAAUGGGCGAAAGCCGGAUCCAGCAAAGCCGCGUGAGUGAAGAAGGUCUUCGGAUUGUAAAGCACUGUAAGUUGGGAGGCGGUACCAACAGAAUAAGCACCGGCUAACUUCGUGCCAGCAGCCGCGGUAAUAC
rnacentral:rRNA from 1 species